rnacentral:rRNA from 1 species
GCAGCGAAAUGCGAUACCUAGUGUGAAUUGCAGAAUUCGGUGAAUCAUGGAGUUUUUGAACGCAAGUUGCGCCCGAGGCUCGUCCGAGGGCAUGCCUGCCUGAGCGUCCGC